GUGUUUCAGCUUGGCCUAAUCCAAAAUUAUAUAUGACUGUGUACACUGUUACACUGAACUGAAUUAAACAAUAAAAAAACUGUUCUUUUUUAUUCAGCAGUUAAUAAAGAAAUGUGGCUCUGUAGUGGACACCUGUGAGGCAGUGGACAGACAGCUGCUGAUGUCUGAUGCUGGCUGACAAUAAACAGACCUGGAAAUACCCCAUCUUUUGCAGAGAAAUUAUAACAUUGCCCUUCCUGUAACAUGAAGAUCCUGCUGUCCUGGACUGUAUAUGAUGAGGUAAUCUAAUCUCAGAACAGCUGUGGUAAUAACAGGAGACCCAUUUGGUGAGAGCAGCACUGCAGACUUUCCUGAUGGAGGAGAUCAUGGACCAUUUUCACAAGACUGAUGAUGUGUUUCAGCUGUGUUUUCAUCGUAAAUCCUCACAAUGUUUGUAUAUUUUUAUUUUAAAAAAUGAUGUGCAUUUAUUACUCUAUACUUUGUAUUAUAUCACAUUCAUAUCAAAUUACAGAAAAAAAUAGUUAAUGCUAAUGCAAGGGUGUUUCUAAUCCAGAGUCUUUGGGAGGAAUGCUAAAUUUGACAUUGUUCUCUCUUCUGACUGCUGUUAUCAGUGUGUCAGAUUUUUUUCUUUGA